rnacentral:rRNA from 1 species
UAAGGCGGCCACAGCAGUGGGGUCACACCCGUACCCAUCCCGAACACGGAAGUUAAGCCCACUCGCGUUUCGGUCAGUACUGGAGUGUGCGAACCUCUGGGAAAUUCGAUUCGCCGCCUCCA